CGCAUGUUUAGGUCCAUUAGAGAUAUUGGGUAUGUAAAUGGAUUCCUGGUUUUAUACAUCCCCUGUGGUAUAAUUCUUAAGGUUCAAUAACAAGGUACCACCAAUACCAAUCUUUAUGGCUGUGCCGUGAUCUUUCCUACAUAUAAUAUAGCAUAAUUAUCAUCACCAUAUUUCAUUAGCACAAAAAUGCAAAGCCUAGCNUUGCAAUAUUCAAUCCAUAAACCAGACAUGGCUUCAAAUGCAUUUGGGAAAAGUAGCAGUC
rnacentral:misc_RNA from 1 species